GACUUUGAUUCUGGCUCAGGAUGAACGCUAGCUACAGGCUUAACACAUGCAAGUCGAGGGGAAACGACAUCGAAAGCUUGCUUUUGAUGGGCGUCGACCGGCGCACGGGUGAGUAACGCGUAUCCAACCUGCCAACCACUUGGGGAUAACCUUGCGAAAGUAAGACUAAUACCCAAUGAUAUCUCUAGAAGACAUCUGAAAGAGAUUAAAGAUUUAUCGGUGAUGGAUGGGGAUGCGUCUGAUUAGCUUGUUGGCGGGGUAACGGCCCACCAAGGUAACGAUCAGUAGGGGUUCUGAGAGGAAGGUCCCCCACAUUGGAACUGAGACACGGUCCAAACUCCUACGGGAGGCAGCAGUGAGGAAUAUUGGUCAAUGGGCGAGAGCCUGAACCAGCCAAGUAGCGUGCAGGAUGACGGCCCUAUGGGUUGUAAACUGCUUUUAUAAGGGAAUAAAGUGAGUCUCGUGAGACUUUUUGCAUGUACCUUAUGAAUAAGGACCGGCUAAUUCCGUGCCAGCAGCCGCGGUAAUACGGAAGGUCCGGGCGUUAUCCGGAUUUAUUGGGUUUAAAGGGAGCGUAGGCCGGAGAUUAAGCGUGUUGUGAAAUGUAGACGCUCAACGUCUGCACUGCAGCGCGAACUGGUUUCCUUGAGUACGCACAAAGUGGGCGGAAUUCGUGGUGUAGCGGUGAAAUGCUUAGAUAUCACGAAGAACUCCGAUUGCGAAGGCAGCUCACUGGAGCGCAACUGACGCUGAAGCUCGAAAGUGCGGGUAUCGAACAGGAUUAGAUACCCUGGUAGUCCGCACGGUAAACGAUAGAUGCCCGCUGUUGGUCUGAAUAGGUCAGCGGCCAAGCGAAAGCAUUAAGCAUCCCACCUGGGGAGUACGCCGGCAACGGUGCAACUCAAAUGAAUUGACGG
rnacentral:rRNA from 1 species